CUUGUCAGUGAUGUUUACCACAGUAAUGUAUUUGAGUUUAACGACCAUGAGAAUACUUUACAUGCACUACCAUCUGAGACAUA
ensembl:snoRNA SNORD33 Small nucleolar RNA Z195/SNORD33/SNORD32 family